rnacentral:rRNA from 1 species
UUCCUACGGGGGGCAGCAGUGGGGAAUCUUCCGCAAUGGGCGCAAGCCUGACGGAGCAACGCCGCGUGAAUGAAGAAGGUCUUCGGAUCGUAAAGUUCUGUUCUUAGGGAAGAAGUCUUUUCUUGUGAAUAAUGGGAGAAGGUGACGGUACCUAUGGAGAAAGCUCCGGCUAACUACGUGCCAGCAGCCGCGGUAAUACGUAGGGAGCGAGCGUUGUCCGGAAUUACUGGGCGUAAAGGGCGCGUAGGCGGGAACUUAAGUUAGAUGUGAAAACUCCGGGCUCAACCUGGAGACUGCAUUUAAAA